rnacentral:tRNA from 1 species
GCCUAGUUAGCUUGGUUGGUAGAGCGUAUGCCUUGUAAGCGCUAGGCCGCGGGUUCGAUUCCCCUCUGGGGCA